GUGCUCACAAUUUCAAUUUGCCGUCGGUUGUCUUAGGUCUCCUCCUCACCCAUAAAACUGUCACCCCAACCCACAACGUACAUCCCCAAAUCAAAACGCAAAAGUGGAGAGAUCAGAGGUCCUCUUCCCCCUCAGACGCCAUAUGCACCUCCUCACCCGUCGAUACAAUCAAUGACGUUUUAAAAGUUCAAGACGUGAUUUAAAAAACAGAUGAUGGUCUCUUAGUCUUCACCUCCCUUUCCCUCUUUUCUGAAUCCCUCUCCUCUAAAUCACUUGAAGAAAGUGUUGAAGGAUGAUGAAGAAGAAUAAGUGGGCACUGCAUGAACAGGUGCUUCUCAAAAUGCUACAAGCUCAACCGGGCUGCUGAACUUCAUAAUUUGUCUAAAUGGUGUGCAAGGGUUGUGUUGUGUUGCCGAGUUUCUACUGAAAGGAUGUGUAGAAGUUAAUCUAAAGGAUUGAUGGGGUAGCACACGUCAGAUAUGUAUACUGCUAUCCGAGGCACAACGCGACUCUUGGAUGUGAGGAAUAACCACAAAACAUGAAGAGUAACCUCACCGUGCUCCAUGGCUUGGCAUGUGGUGAGUCAGAUCCGGACGUGGUAUUUCGGUACGGAUACGGUUUGGAUACAAGUUGGAUAACGGAUCAAAAACAAUUUUAGUCCGGGUGAAAUAAGCAGAUGCUCUGGUUGUUAAAAGAAAAGAUUGACUUUUGCAUUUGCUUAAGUGCGAGAUGAUUGUUGGUCCCAUAAAAGCCUUAUAUAUGGAUGAAAUACAUGGAGGCAAUAGGUUGUUCAUCCAAAGAAAAACAUGCAUUUUGCUUGAAAUGAAAAGAUUUACAUCUUUUGUCACGUAGGUUCUUUGUAGGAGGAAUAAUAUGUUGGAGAUCUGUAUUGUGUUCUUUGAGUGGGUCAUGGGUCGUGGGUCCCACGGUAUGACUAUGUCAGCAACAUAAUCAUUCUAGAUUCAUAUAUGUUAAAUUUGCCUAUCGUUUACUUUUGCAUUUAAAUGACACCAUUUCAUGUUUUAGUACUCUAUCAGCUUUAUUUUCUAUCAUUUUGUGGUUGUAUAAACUGUUGACAUUUGUUUUGCUUUUAUAAAUUAAAGAGUGGUGCUUUUAUUU
rnacentral:lncRNA from 1 species